UGAGGGGGGCUGCUCCUAGUACGAGAGGACCGGAGUGGACGCAUCACUGGUGUUCGGGUUGUCAUGCCAAUGGCAUUGCCCGGUAGCUAAAUGCGGAAAAGAUAAGUGCUGAAAGCAUCUAAGCACGAAACUUGCCCCAAGAUGAGUUCUCCCUGAGACUUAGAGUCUCCUGAAGGAACGUUGAAGACGACGACGUUGAUAGGCCGGGUGUGUAAGCGCAGCGAUGCGUUGAGCUAACCGGUACUAAUGAACCGUGAGGCUUAACCUU
rnacentral:rRNA from 2 species